rnacentral:rRNA from 1 species
CGAGUCUGCCUUGAAGAUCGGAGUGCUUGCACUCUGUGAAACAAGAUACAGGCUAGCGGCGGACGGGUGAGUAACACGUGGGUAACCUGCCCAAGAGAUCGGGAUAACACCUGGAAACAGAUGCUAAUACCGGAUAACAACAGAUGAUGCCUAUCAACUGUUUAAAAGAUGGUUCUGCUAUCACUCUUGGAUGGACCUGCGGUGCAUUAGCUAGUUGGUAGGGUAACGGCCUACCAAGGCGAUGAUGCAUAGCCGAGUUGAGAGACUGAUCGGCCACAUUGGGACUAGAGACACGGCCCAAACUCCUACGGGAGGCAGCAGUAGGGAAUCUUCCACAAUGGACGCAAGUCUGAUGGAGCAACGCCGCGUGAGUGAAGAAGGGUUUCGGCUCGUAAAGCUCUGUUGUUGGUGAA